rnacentral:lncRNA from 1 species
GGGAGAAGCACCAGUUUGGAGUGCAGCAUGGCACUGCUCCUUUAUCUUCCUGAGGGAUAAAGCAGAGCACAUCACCAUCUGCUCAGACCUGUCUGAUGUUGGGCAGCUCAGGCACCUGCUGAAAGGCCGUCUCUCCUGGAUGCAGCCCCAGUCAAGCAACAGGCUCUGGGCAGGACAGUGCCAGUGAGACAGCAUUCACAUACACAGGUUGGUUGCUGCUGGGAGAGCAGUGACGUGAAAAGCCACCUGAAGGGGCUGUGCUUCCACUGGGAGGGGA